rnacentral:rRNA from 1 species
GGGGAAUUUUGGACAAUGGGGGCAACCCUGAUCCAGCCAUGCCGCGUGAGUGAAGAAGGCCUUCGGGUUGUAAAGCUCUUUCGCGAGGGAAGAAAACGCACUCUCUAAUAUAGGGUGUGGAUGACGGUACCUUGAUAAGAAGCACCGGCUAACUACGUGCCAGCAGCCGCGGUAAUACGUAGGGUGCGAGCGUUAAUCGGAAUUACUGGGCGUAAAGCGUGCGCAGGCGGUUUUGUAAGACAGGCGUGAAAUCCCCGGGCUCAACCUGGGAAUGGCGUUUGUGACUGCAAGGCUAGAGUAUGGCAGAGGGGGGUAGAAUUCCACGUGUAGCAGUGAAAUGCGUAGAGAUGUGGAGGAAUACCGAUGGCGAAGGCAGCCCCCUGGGCCAAUACUGACGCUCAUGCACGAAAGCGUGGGGAGCAAAC